AGUUUGGGUGGAAGGUUAAAGGCCUUGGGAAUGUGACAUCCUCCGGGUUGUUUUAUAGCCCUCGGUGUAAUGCUUCCUACCUAGACUGAGGCACGCGUUCGCUAGGAUGCUGGCGUAAUGGCUUUAAGCGA
rnacentral:rRNA from 1 species